rnacentral:lncRNA from 1 species
UUACUUGUGGAGAAAUUUUCCAGUUUUCCGGAAAACUAGCUCUAAGGAAAACAAAAAAUAGAAAACUUGUUUACUUGCCCUGUUUUCUCUAAGUUAGAAAACAGUUUUCCAAUUUUCUUAAAUUUUCUGUUUUCUGUUUUGAGCUUUAAAGUGGGAAAACACUGAUUUAGAGUUUUCUAUUCGGAAAACAUCGGGUCGCGAGCGAAACGUAAAAAAAUUAAACCGAUCACUUCUUCUUCCUCUUCUCUCUCUCUGCUCUCUCAAUUUCCCCUCUCUUCUAAAGUUGUUUGACAGAUCUAGACUCAUCUCAAUCUUUUAGCAAGGUGAGAUUUCAAUCAAUAUUCUUUAAUCUCUUAUUUUUUUUCUUUAAUAUUAGAUAGAAAGAUUUCUCUAGGGGGUAUUUGGGUUUGAUUAAUCUCUUUGCUUAUGCAUGUUGAUAAUAGCUUGUUGUGUUUUUUUUGUUUUUUUUUUUUCAAUUUGAAUAUAAAUUUUAAUAUUUUGUCUAUAAUUAUGUUUUGUAGAUUUUAUAUGGUAUUUAUUUUUGACAAAUUAUGUAGCUUUGAUGAAAAUUAUGACUCUUAAGGGAUUUUUUUAUAAAAUUUGUGAGUAUGUAUGCUCCAAGAUCUGGCGGUUUUAGACUUUCAAUAGUUUAGCUCAGUUAGAAUUGAAGAAGUAAUUUUUAUGUAGCUUAAGCUAUAAUGCUUUUUUUCCAUUUGAUAUGAAAUUUCUAUUGUUUUCCUUUUGGUAUUGGUUUCUGCUUACCUUUAAGCUAUAAAAGGUCUUGUUGUUUCGACUGCACUUUGAAAUAUGAAUUAUGUAAAAACUACUGAAAGGACAAGAGAAAAUAAAUUUAAUUUGUAAUGUCCAGUUGACUAGGCUAGCACUGGUUAUAAAAAUACCGUGCUCUCACUAAUGUCGAUAUCAUGAACAACACUCUUGUGAGUUCUAAGUUCAUGCUAAUGGUUGCAGCAACCUUGGAUUGCAUGAUAGGAUUUUUGCAAAUUUAAACUAAAUGGAAUAGUAUCAGUUGUCAAGCUUCUAGCUAGCCUUAGAAUAUUUAAAUGGUAUUUCUUGUGUUUGUAGGUUGUGGUUCAUGGGUUAGCGGAAAGUCAUUAUCUGUUGUGUAUUCCACACACACACAAUGUACCAAUGUGUUAACUAUGUACAUGAUCAUUGUAUAGCAGCACUUUGCAUCUACAUGGGAGAUUAUGACAUUUGGGUAUAUUGAGGCUAAUCAAAUUCCUAAAGCUGUCGAGUCUAUAAAAGCAGCAUUUUUGGCAAGACCAGGGUGGGAUGCCACGUCGUGAAACUCUAGCUGUUUACUUUACUUAAAACAGCAAGAAGAUGUUGCAGAGGUAGAGGAGUUCGUGAGAUUACUUGGGGCUGCACGUCAUAUGCCAACAGAUGAUUGUGGUAAGCUGCUUGAUUAUUUUUAUAACAAUGAAGGAGAAGCUAGCAAAGUAAACAAGCUUAAUGCAAAUGGUUUGAAUGAUGGUGUAGAAAUAGCUUAAAUUCAAUGGAAGCUACAUAAUGCUCAACAUAAUGGCGAAUUUUCAUGAAUGUACAGUUUGGAUAUUUUAUAUUUCUCUUUCCAUCCUCCUUCCCUUUGUCGUCUCAGAGGAGCAGAUGUAUGAGUUUCAGUCAUAAAAUUUAGUACGGCUGUUAAAUCCUCUCCUAAACUUGUUUGGCAAUUCAUCAACAAAAUAUAUAUGUACAUUGAGUUUCAUUUAUAUUUUGAUAACAUUCUUACCGCAAUUUUUUCCCAGACUUCAUACCUGCUCAUGGCUGGCCACGAUGAAGUUGGCAGGGCAAGUGAGCAACUACACUUAAUGACAAGGAAGAAACUCACCUCAUAGAGGAACUCAUCCGUGAAUACCCGUCCGUUAAUUUCCUCAAGGUGGGUUAAAGCUUGUUAAUGAAUCAUUUAGAUGAAGGCCAUCUUUGGUACUCUUUCAGACCAGAAUAACACAUGCAAUGUUGAUUGUAACACAUUUUAUAACUGAUCUGAUGGGACAUAUUUAAUAUAUUUUACAGGAGGAUGUUGACGACAACCCAACGCAGAAGAGUCAGAGGAGGUGCACUUACUGCCAAUCUUCGGGUUAUACAAGAAUGGAUCAAGGAUAAAAGACAUUCCAGGAACUAACCUUGUAUGCAGCAUAUGAUAGAAAGUCCUAAUGUCAACAUACAACAAAGAAGAGUCACUUGAUAAGUCAUGUUUCUACUAAUGUGGACCACCACAGAAAUGGCUUCAAGUUUUUGCAUAAAAUUUCCAUAUGUUUUUAUUAUAUUUCAUGAAAUUAAAAUUUUUUAAGCCGAUGCUAGCAAUGUGUUCGAAACUAGGAUUGAUAAAUGUUGUGAUCAUAGUGGUACUGGUGGAUCUUAGUUUUUUUUUUUUUUUUUUUUUUUUUUGUUGGACAAAAGUGCUAUUUAUUUCACAAGGUAAAAGUACUGAUGGAUCUUAGUUGUACUUGGUAAGGUUCGUCCUUGUUUUUGUAACAUGGAAAGAUAAUAAAAAUGAAGUGCACAAGAAGAGCAACAUUGUAUGUGCUAAUAUAAGAAUUAUGAUAUGUUUAAACUUUUUACGGAUCUU